GGAGGGUGCAAGCGUUAUCCGGAUUUAUUGGGUUUAAAGGGUCCGUAGGCGGAUCAUUAAGUCAGUGGUGAAAUCCGACAGCUCAACUGUCGAACUGCCAUUGAUACUGGUGAUCUUGAGUACGGUUGAAGUAGGCGGAAUAUGACAUGUAGCGGUGAAAUGCUUAGAUAUGUCAUGGAACACCGAUUGCGAAGGCAGCCUACUAAGCCGUUACUGACGCUGAGGGACGAAAGUGUGGGGAGCGAACAGGAUUAGAUACCCUGGUAGUCCACACCGUAAACGAUGAUUACUCGGUAUUGGCUUUAUUGUCAGUGCCCAAGCGAAAGUGAUAAGUAAUCCACCUGGGGAGUACGGCCGCAAGGUUGAAACUCAAAGGAAUUGACGGGGGCCCGCACAAGCGGUGGAGCAUGUGGUUUAAUUCGAUGAUACGCGAGGAACCUUACCAGGGCUUAAAUGUAGAACGACCGGGGUGGAAACACCUCCUUUUUCGAACGGUCUACAAGGUGCUGCAUGGUUGUCGUCAGCUCGUGCUGUGAAGUGUCGGGUUAAGUCCCAUAACGAGCGCAACCCCUAUUUCUAGUUGCCAGCGGUUCGGCCGGGGACUCUAGAGAAACUGCCAGCGUAAGCUGUGAGGAAGGUGGGGACGACGUCAAAUCAUCACGGCCCUUACGUCCUGGGCCACACACGUGCUACAAUGGUGGGGACAACGAGUUGCCAACCCGCGAGGGUGAGCUAAUCUCUCAAACCCCAUCUCAGUUCGGAUCGGAGUCUGCAACUCGACUCCGUGAAGUUGGAAUCGCUAGUAAUCGCGCAUCAGCCAUGGCGCGGUGAAUACGUUCCCGGGCCUU
rnacentral:rRNA from 1 species